rnacentral:rRNA from 1 species
AUUGAACGCUGGCGGCAGGCCUAACACAUGCAAGUCGAGCGAGCCGCGGACGUGUGUUUUAUGUCUGGGAAUCUCCCUUAUGGCGGGGUAUCACUUCUGCAAACUGUAUCUUAUCCCGCAUACCAUCAUAUGCCCCCAGAUGGGAUUAGCUGGUAGGUGGGGUAAUGGCUCACCUAGGCGACGAUCCCUAGCUGGUCUGAGAUGAUGACCAGCCACACUGGGACGGAGACACGGUCCAGACUCCUACGGGAGGCAGCAGUGGGGAAUAUUGCACAAUGGGCGCAAGCCUGAUGCAGCCAUGCCGCGGGUAUGAAGAAGGCCUUCGGGUUGUAAAGCACUUUCAGCGAGGAGGCGUUAAUCGAAGAAGAAGCACCGGCUAACUCCGUGCCAGCAGCCGCGGUAAUAC